CCCAAUCCGCGUAGUGAUCAUUUGUGGGUGGUUAUCCGAUGAAAAUAAAGUAGUCGGCAAGAUCUACAGCAUUUACGCGACGCUGGGGUCUCAGAAACUCGUAAACAAACGUAGACUAAACGAGGGCCUUCUAAAUAAUUUUUCUGGGUAUCCUCAUAACACUUGUAUCUUAAAUGUCUACAUAAUUCAAUAUUCUACCAGGGGUUUCUUGAUAAAAUUUUCACAAACCAUAUUUUAUUGAGGAAAUCCUCUCUGCCACCGCCCGGAAUCCGCCGACCGAUGCACCCUCCGUCGGGGAGGCGGCGACGAAGAAGGGGGGCCCCGUUCGCACUCUCCAGACCCUGCGGUCCGCCGGCGGCCGUUCACCUCCUUCUUGGUCCUUGGAUGGCUUAUCUACGGCUCCAACCUCCUCCCAUUACCUAGCACCUCCGACCUCGAAACCUAGGAUCGCCGCCACCAGAUCUCGUCGCCAUCCGCGCCGCCGUCUCCGGCCGGUGAUCCACCUUUGUUGAAGUUCUCCAAACUGAAACUGAAAGCUUAUAGUUGCUCAUUUGAGUCUUGAAUGGAAUGUUUCUAGUGAUGUGCAGAAUGUUAAGCAUAUUUUGUUGUACCUAUCUUUCUCUUUAACAAAAAUCCGAGAAAAGCAGUGUUCCGACAGAAGAAUAUUUCAUUGCUUGGUUUGUUGAUAUUAUAGGUCCUUGUUUUUAAGAAAUGUGCAAGAUUUCUUUCAAGAUUUUGAU